ACAGGCCAACUUGGAGCCCGGUUCUCCCCGGUGGUGGCUUUGUCACGGCGGCUCUGCCCUGAGCCUCAGCCAACGCUGCCCUAUUCGGGCAGAACCCAGCGCUUUCUGGAACCCUGGUGUUGCUGGCCACCUGCAUACAUUCUCCCCUUCUCCCAGAGAAAAGUGGCAUUUUUUUGGUAAGCAAGGACACCUGAGCCACCUCCACCCGUCGCCCCAAACCGUCUGGGGGGGUGAGGACGGACCUAUGUCCCCACGCCGUGCUGGCUUCUUGGUGAAGGGGACCCCGAGCGUUCACCGGCCUCUGCUGCCCGCUCAGGAAGCCCUGGCCGGAUCUGGGGCUUAAAAGAGCCUGUUUCCAGGUCCUUGGUCUGGCAACCAGGGAGCUCCAGACCCGGGCACCUCGAAAACCCGGAGAGGCUGCACCCGGGACAUCCUUCUCGCCCUCCGUUUUCUGCGACUGGCUCAGCCAUAUUCAGCGGAGCUGGGGUUCAGCCAGCCUGGCCACGAGGGGUCCCAACCCUCCAGAAAGCCAGAGGACUGCAGCACCAAAGCCGGAACGCCGAAGGGACAAGAGCGCUCAUUCGGUGGGCAGAGCCGCCGCUGAAGCACCAGGCUCGGCUGCAGCAGAUCCCGAUGUGUCUCAGCUCCGCCUCCGGCCCUGGCCCCUUUCCCCGGCCCGGGUCGGGUCUUCCAUUCCACUGUUUGGCUCGGAGAGGUCAGAGACGUGCUGGGUGCACAUGGGGCCGGAUGCAGCCAUAAAUCUCUAUGCAGGACCUCCUUUCCCGCUGCUCACACGCUGGUGCUCCUGGCCAGCCUCCCAUCCGGACUUCACCGGGGGCCCUGCUCUCCCGGUCACAGCCUGGGGUCCCUGGGACGGUGCAGGGAAUCAAGCCAGGAGCUUCCCUGUUCACCAAAGAGAGAAACGGACUCACCCAUUCAGUGCCAUCACCUUCCAUACCUGGAGUCGGCGGACCCCAGCCAGCCCAGGCCUCACCAGAUCGCAGCCUGGGGAAGGGCCACCGGCCAGGCACUAGCUCCUAAGAAGGCAUACUCGGGACUUUUCGCCUCUCAGCCCCGAGUCGGCUCCCACAUCAGCCACCAGCUUUCGGCUUUGGCGCAAAUAGCCCAACCAUGGGGAGAGCGGUAAUCGCUCUAGUGGCCGCCUGGUAGGGGCGGUGGUCUUUCUACCUGAACAGUCACGGAGCAUCUGGGGGACAGACCCAGAGAAGGUGCAUUUGCAAUAAUAACUCUUAAUGUCA